UACAGGGGGGGCAAGCGUUGUUCGGAAUUACUGGGCGUAAAGGGUCUGUAGGUGGCCAACUAAGUCAGACGUGAAAUCCCUCAGCUUAACUGGGGAACUGCGUCUGAUACUGGAUGGCUUGAGUGUGGGAGAGGAAUGCGGAAUUCCAGGUGUAGCGGUGAAAUGCGUAGAUAUCUGGAGGAACACCGGUGGCGAAGGCGGCAUUCUGGACCAUAACUGACACUGAGAGCCGAAAGCCAGGGGAGCAAACGGG
rnacentral:rRNA from 1 species